ACUACUUUUAUUUCAGUUUUAAGUUUUAAUUUUAGUUCAGUUUUAGUUUUUUUUUUUGGUUCCAGUUAUUAAUUUUAGUGAUUUAGUGACACAUAUUGUAUUUAUUUGUCAAUGUAGCAUUUCUAAUUGUCAUGUUAGUUUUUAUAGUUUUGUGAUGUUAGUGAGGGGUAAUAAUCUGUGUCUCUCUGUGUGUGUGUGUAUCUGUGUGUGUGUAUGUGUGUGUGUGUGUGUGUGUGUGUGUGUGUAUCUGUAUGUGUCUGUGUGUGUGUUUAUCUGUGUGUGUGUGUGUGUGUCUGAGAUCAAUAAGCUGCAGCUGUGUAAGCCGCUGAUCCGUGCCAUCGUCAGCUCUAACCUGAAGGACGAGUACAGCACGUACAAAUACUGUGUGCGCAGGAAAGCCAUGUUCAACAACGACUUCAAACAAGGUGUGUGUGGUUCCUCAGGUACAUGACAGUGAUGAUGAUGAUGAUGAUGAAGAACACCUGUCUCUGGUCAGCUGUGUCCAGCUGAGGAGUACCUGUCCUUCUCCUUCACACUCUGCCAUCGCUCCGGGUCACAUGCCUUCACUCCAGCUGCUAAAGAAGAACGACCUCAUGCAGAUCACAGACAUCACCAGAGCUGUGAGACUGGAUUAAUCAUAUUUUGAAUUACCUCAGCUCCCAGAAUGAACCUGUUACUCCACAAUCCCAUCAACCUACGGUCCUCAGUGCUUCAUCUUCAUUUUACAUUCACCCAUUUUUUUUUUUAUUGAUGGUCAAAUAAAAAUCACCGUUUUGCA